rnacentral:tRNA from 1 species
AAGGAUUUAAGUUAAAGAAACUAUUAACCUUCAAAGUUAAAAUUGCUCUAAUCACAAUAAGUAAGCCUUA